CCUUAGAGUUUGAUCCUGGCUCAGGACGAACGCUGGCGGCGUGCCUAACACAUGCAAGUCGAACGGGACUCUUUGGAUCAAGGCUUCGGCCAAGUGAAUUUGAGUUUAGUGGCGAACGGGUGAGUAACGCGUGAGCAACCUGCCUUUCAGAGGGGGACAACAGUUGGAAACGACUGCUAAUACCGCAUGACACAAUCGGGGGGCAUCCCCUGGUUGUCAAAGAUUUAUCGCUGAAAGAUGGGCUCGCGUCUGAUUAGCUAGUUGGUGGGGUAACGGCUCACCAAGGCGACGAUCAGUAGCCGGACUGAGAGGUUGAACGGCCACAUUGGGACUGAGAUACGGCCCAGACUCCUACGGGAGGCAGCAGUGGGGAAUAUUGGGCAAUGGGGGCAACCCUGACCCAGCAACGCCGCGUGAAGGAAGAAGGCUUUCGGGUUGUAAACUUCUUUUAUGAGGGACGAAGAACGUGACGGUACCUCAUGAAUAAGCCACGGCUAACUACGUGCCAGCAGCCGCGGUAAUACGUAGGUGGCAAGCGUUAUCCGGAUUUACUGGGUGUAAAGGGCGCGUAGGCGGGGAUGCAAGUCAGAUGUGAAAUCUAUGGGCUCAACUCAUAAACUGCAUUUGAAACUGUAUCUCUUGAGUGCUGGAGAGGUAGAUGGAAUUCCUUGUGUAGCGGUGAAAUGCGUAGAUAUAAGGAAGAACACCAGUGGCGAAGGCGAUCUACUGGACAGUAACUGACGCUGAGGCGCGAGAGCGUGGGGAGCAAACAGGAUUAGAUACCCUGGUAGUCCACGCUGUAAACG
rnacentral:rRNA from 1 species